rnacentral:rRNA from 1 species
GACAGAGGGUGCAAACGUUGUUCGGAUUUACUGGGCGUAAAGCGCGUGUAGGCGGCUUUACAAGUCGGGGGUGAAAGCCCGAGGCUCAACCUCGGAACUGCCUUCGAUACUGCGGGUCUCGAGUCCGGGAGAGGUGAGUGGAAUUCCUAGUGUAGCAGUGAAAUGCGCAGAUAUCAGGAAGAACACCAACGGCGAAGGCAGCUCGCUGGGACGGUACUGACGCUGAGACGCGAAAGCGUGGGGAGCGAACAGG